UACAGAGGGUGCGAGCGUUUAAUCGGAAUAUCUGGGCGUAAAGCGUGCGUAGGCGGUUCUCCAAGUCCGUUGUGAAAGCCCCGGGCUCAACCUGGGAAUGGCAGUGGAAACUAGGGGACUGGAAUCUGGCAGAGGGGGGUGGAAUGCCGCGUGUAGCAGUGAAAUGCGUAGAGAUGCGGCGGAACACCGAUGGCGAAGGCAGCCCCCUGGGCUGAGAUUGACGCUCAGGCACGAAAGCGUGGGGAGCAAACAGG
rnacentral:rRNA from 1 species